rnacentral:rRNA from 1 species
UACGUAGGGUGCAAGCGUUAAUCGGAAUUACUGGGCGUAAAGCGUGCGCAGGCGGUUAUGCAAGACAGAUGUGAAAUCCCCGGGCUUAACCUGGGAACCGCAUUUGUGACUGCAUAGCUGGAGUACGGCAGAGGGGGAUGGAAUUCCGCGUGUAGCAGUGAAAUGCGUAGAGAUGCGGAGGAACACCGAUGGCGAAGGCAGCCCCCUGGGCCAAUACUGACGCUCAGGCACGAAAGCGUGGGGAGCAAACAGG